AAUCCCUUCCACAAGCCACCUUUCUCGCAAAAACAGAAAUCAAACUUUUCCGAUAUGAAACAUCUGAUUGCAGACCUUCCAGAAGAAAUCGGCUUGGAGUGCCGUAUUUGAGUCCUCCACGGAACCCUUCCUCUUCUCCGACGAGUCUGUUGCCGAUGGAAACAAGCAAUCGAAGCAUUCCUCCUUCACUGCCUUCGUAGGUCCACUAGUUUCUCCGACCACCUCAUCAUCUUCUUAUAGUCUCACCAUACCCUCUCCGCCACAGGUAGACCCUCCCUCCCCUUCCCUACAAUCUUUUUCUUAUGGCGGAUUUAAUAGUUUUCCGACGUAUUUUUGGUGAAUUUUUUUUUGCCGGUAAAGAAAAAAAUUUCGGAGAACAAAAUUCGCCUUAAACAUUUUUCCGGCGGAAUUUAGCCUCCGGUAAUUUCUCCGACGGCUGUUCGACAGAAAAAUGCCGCCGAAAUAAAAAAAUUAAAAAAAUAGCUUAAUUCCACGCCCAAACCCGAACCCGCCCCCCACCAUUGACGACGAGGUGGAGGCAGGAGGAAAAGACACAAAAGAAAAAGGGGUGGUCGAGGGAGACUAAAGGGAUUGGUCGGAGGGAAGCCCACUCACCGGUAGACAGGUUGAGUGCAACGAGACGACAAUAGGGGUGGGAGGAAAAAAACCUGAGGGAGCAUCUAACUGCGUAGUGGGCCUCUAUGAAGAUGAUGAGAUGGUGGGAGGAACCGGCGAAGCGACAUAGGUGGUGAAAGAAGGGGGAUUCAGUUGCUUGUUUCCUCCGGCAGACUUGUUGGAGAAGAGGGAGGGUUUUGUGGGGGGCUCGAAUAAGGCACUCCAAGCCUAUUUCUUCUGGAAGGCCUGGUAUUAGAUCUUCCAUAUCAGGGAAAUUCAUUUUCUUUCUUCGAUAAAGGUGUGGAUUUCGAAGAGAGAUAAAAGAGGCAGAAAUACAUCAUUAGUUGAAGAUAGAAAAUUUGUCAUCCCUUCUCUUUAUGUGGUCUCCAUUAUCCUCUCUUUUUAGAGGCCCUAAUUUAAGAGGAAUCUCCUCUCACUCUUUUGUAAUCUAGACAAAUAUUAUUGAGAUAACCUACUUUGGAGAGCAUUAAAAUGUCAUAAAUUUGUCAUCCAUUAUCUUUAUGUCAUAAAUUUGGGAUAUCUUUCUUAUUGCUUUAUUUUU